AGUGAACGCUGGCGGUAGGCCUAACACAUGCAAGUCGAACGGCAGCACAGUAAGAGCUUGCUCUUACGGGUGGCGAGUGGCGGACGGGUGAGGAAUACAUCGGAAUCUACUUUUUCGUGGGGGAUAACGUAGGGAAACUUACGCUAAUACCGCAUACGACCUACGGGUGAAAGCAGGGGAUCUUCGGACCUUGCGCGAUUGAAUGAGCCGAUGUCGGAUUAGCUAGUUGGCGGGGUAAAGGCCCACCAAGGCGACGAUCCGUAGCUGGUCUGAGAGGAUGAUCAGCCACACUGGAAUUGAGACACGGUCCAGACUCCUACGGGAGGCAGCAGUGGGGAAUAUUGGACAAUGGGCGCAAGCCUGAUCCAGCCAUACCGCGUGGGUGAAGAAGGCCUUCGGGUUGUAAAGCCCUUUUGUUGGGAAAGAAAAGCAGCAGGUUAAUACCCAGCUGCUCUGACGGUACCCAAAGAAUAAGCACCGGCUAACUUCGUG
rnacentral:rRNA from 1 species